UGAGUUCAAUUAAUAAUAAUAAUUUUACUUGAAGAAAAUAGUUUGCAAUUUCAUCAGCAGAAGUCAGCUUCAACACUCUCGAAGGAGUUUGCAGGCCGCCCCCCAUACAAUACAAAAUCAACCACAGUUAUACCCUGACAGAGGAUACUAAUUGCGUCAAUACAUGAGUCAACAAAAUUCUGAUUGGUUCCAAAACCUAGAUAAAACUCUCCAAAGACGUAUAUCUGAUAUGCUGGACACUGGCAGUUGAUCGUUUGUCCUGGGACUGUCUGAGCUUCUCCCUGUACAGACAGAUACUAACACACGUACACAGAGAACUUAUCUAAAAUUCAAGGCUUUCUAGCACUGGCGAGUGUCUUAUCAUUACGGUUGGAUACACACACAUAAUAUGUGGACAUUAA